AUGUCGCUAUGUGUACGGCGGCGGCCGAGCAGAGCCAGAGUCGGUGGCCGCGGACCAGCCCUCGGGGGUGCGAGCGUGAGCGCGGCCAAGCCCGCGUCGCCUUCUGCGGCGAGUAGGGCCUCGCGGCGUCAUCGGCGGCGAGUAGCCGCUGCGGCCUGGCCGACCUUGUCGGACGCGACUGAGGAGCAGCCCAAGGAGACGACGGGCGCCACCGAGAACGGAACACGAGGCCGCCCCCGAAGGCGAGGCCCCGGUCGAGCCCAGCGCGGCGGCCGCGGCCCCCCACGGACGGCCUCGGCCGGGUCCGGGGGUGGGACCACGACCGCCCCGAGCCGAACCAGAACGGGUCGAGGGCGACCAGAUCAACGCCAGAAAGAAAGAGGAGGACGCAGGGAAAACGUUUGUUGGUGGUCUGAGCUGGGAUACCAGCAAAAAAUAUUUAAAGGAUUAUUUUACUAAGUUUGGAGAGGUUGUUGACUGUACAAUAAAAAUGGAUCCCAACACUGGACGAUCAAGAGGGUUUGGUUUUAUUCUCUUCAAAGAUUCUUCCAGUGUGGAAAAGGUCUUAGAUCAGAAGGAGCACAGGCUGGAUGGCCAAGUCAUCGACCCAAAAAAGACUAUGGCUAUGAAGAAGGAUCCUGUGAAGAAAAUCUUUGUGGGGGGUCUAAACCUUGAAGCCACAGAGGAAAAGAUCAGAGAAUACUUCGGCCAGUUUGGGGAGAUUGAGGCCAUUGAGCUUCCAAUAGGUCCCAAGUUGAACAAAAGACGGGGUUUUGUUUUUAUUACAUUUAAAGAGGAAGAUCCUGUGACGAAAGUUCUGGAGAAGAAAUUUCAUACUGUCAGUGGAAGCAAGUGUGAAAUCAAGGUUGCCCAGCCCAAAGAGGUGUAUCAGCAACAGCAGUAUUGCUGUGGUGGCAGAGGAAAUCGCAAUCGAGGGAACCGAGGCAGUGGUGGAGGUCAGGGUAGUACAAAUUAUGGAAAGAGCCAGCGACGCGGUGGUCAUCAGAAUAACUACAAGCCAUACUGAGAGGCGGCAGGAGCGGCCGAGUGACGACCGCACACGCUUUGUUUGGACGCGGAGUGAACACAAUUAUGUACCAAAUUUAACUUGGCAAACUUUUAUGGCCUGUCCCAUGUGCAUCUUAUUUAAAAUUUCCCCCAGAAAUCACUUUCCUGUUUACUAUUCCAGAGCUCUAGUUGUUGUAGGCAGCGUGUGGCGUCUCAGAGGCCAGA